ACUCCUGCGGGAGGCAGCAGUGGGGAAUUUUGGACAAUGGGCGAAAGCCUGAUCCAGCAAUGCCGCGUGCAGGAUGAAGGCCUUCGGGUUGUAAACUGCUUUUGUACGGAACGAAAAAGCUCCUUCUAAUACAGGGGGCCCAUGACGGUACCGUAAGAAUAAGCACCGGCUAACUACGUGCCAGCAGCCGCGGUAAUACGUAGGGUGCGAGCGUUAAUCGGAAUUACUGGGCGUAAAGCGUGCGCAGGCGGUUAUGUAAGACAGAUGUGAAAUCCCCGGGCUCAACCUGGGAACUGCAUUUGUGACUGCAUGGCUAGAGUACGGUAGAGGGGGAUGGAAUUCCGCGUGUAGCAGUGAAAUGCGUAGAUAUGCGGAGGAACACCGAUGGCGAAGGCAAUCCCCUGGACCUGUACUGACGCUCAUGCACGAAAGCGUGGGGAGCAAACAGGAUUAUAUACCCUUGUAGUCCCAUG
rnacentral:rRNA from 1 species